UGCCUACGGGGGGCAGCAGUAGGGAAUAUUGCACAAUGGGGGAAACCCUGAUGCAGCAACGCCGCGUGAGUGAAGAAGUAUUUCGGUAUGUAAAGCUCUAUCAGCAGGGAAGAAGAUGACGGUACCUGAAUAAGAAGCCCCGGCUAACUACGUGCCAGCAGCCGCGGUAAUACGUAGGGGGCAAGCGUUAUCCGGAUUUACUGGGUGUAAAGGGAGCGCAGACGGCAGUGCAAGUCUGGAGUGAAGGCCCGUGGCUUAACUACGGGACUGCUCUGGAAACUGUGCAGCUAGAGUGCAGGAGAGGG
rnacentral:rRNA from 1 species